GGGGGCACGGGGGGAGGAAAGCAGGGGAUCGCAAGACCUUGCGCUGAUGGAUGAGCCGAAGUCGGAUUAGCUAGUUGGUAGGGUAACGGCCUACCAAGGCGACGAUCCGUAGCUGGUCUGAGAGGACGACCAGCCACACUGGGACUGAGACACGGCCCAGACUCCUACGGGAGGCAGCAGUGGGGAAUAUUGGACAAUGGGGGCAACCCUGAUCCAGCGACGCCGCGUGUGUGAAGAAGGCCUGCGGGUUGUAAAGCACUUUUAGUGGGGAUGAAAAGUUCAGGGCUAAUAUCUGUGGAUCUUGACCUAACCCAAAGAAAAAGCACCGGCUAACUCUGUGCCAGCAGCCGCGGUAAUACAGAGGGUGCGAGCGUUAAUCGGAAUUACUGGGCGUAAAGCGUGCGUAGACG
rnacentral:rRNA from 1 species